UCCCUGGUAGUAUAUCGGUUAGUACACGCGCCUGUCAUCGUGUGCGAUUUUCCGCGCGAAAGCUGAGUUCGACUCCCAGCCAGAGAG